UACGUAGGCAGCAAGCGUUGUUCGGAGUUACUGGGCGUAAAGGGCUCGUAGGCGGCCAACUAAGUCGGACGUGAAAUCCCUCGGCUUAACCGGGGAACUGCGUCCGAUACUGGAUGGCUUGAGUUCGGGAGAGGGAUGCGGAAUUCCAGGUGUAGCGGUGAAAUGCGUAGAUAUCUGGAGGAACACCGGUGGCGAAGGCGGCAUCCUGGACCGAUACUGACGCUGAGGAGCGAAAGCCAGGGGAGCAAACGGG
rnacentral:rRNA from 1 species